CGUGUAGGCGGCUCGGUAAGUGGGUCGUGAAAGCGCCCGGCUAAACUGGGCGAGGACGAUCGAGACUGCCGGUGCUAGAGGGUGGUAGAGGGACAGGGAAUUCCGGGUGUAGCGGUGAAAUGUGUAGAGAUCCGGAGGAACACCAGUGGCGAAGGCGCUGUCCUGGGCCACCACUGACGCUGAUACGCGAAGGCGUGGGGAGCGAACG
rnacentral:rRNA from 1 species